AUGCUGGGCAGGAAAUAUAAACCUUCCUCGCAAACCUCUUCUGAAGGAGAACUUGCGGAUGCAGAGACAGAACUGAGGGAGAGUGAUCAGUUCCUCCUGCUGCCUUUGGGGAUCUACUGCUCCUGCUGCUGUUGCCAAUCACUCCAGUUUCAAGGCUCACACCAGCACUCGCUCUGCUACAGCCUUGGAGGUCAGCUGCCCAGAAUCUGUGUGUCAGCGGGGCUGCGCUCCCCAGGGAGGGGCUUCUGGGAGAAUCCGUUUUGGGGGGUGGUGGAAUCCGUUCAGGAGGGCGUGGAAUCUGCUUCCGACUUUUCCAGCCUCAGAGGGCAGCUGCACCCUUGGCCUGGGCCCCUCCCUCCAUCUUUAGAGAAGAGGGCUCCACCGUCUGGCUCCAUCUCUGGGGCCAAUCCAGCCGCCUCCUUCUUCUACAAACCCUUAGGAAGGGCUGGCUCCCCCAGGUUAUCCCAGAUAACCUUUCUGUCUUAGAAGCUUCACUUAAUCACAGCGGCAAAGUCCCUUUGUCCAUGCAUGGAGCAUACGCAGCGGUCCUAGGGAUUAGGACUUGGACGUCUCAGGUGGCACCGUUCAAGCAGCUGCAGGUAUGAGGAUGGUGACAAAACAGCCAGUGGGAAGACUGAGGUCUUGGUCCUAGACUAAGAGAGGUGCGAUGGGCUGCAUGGAUUUGAAGGCGGUUGGGGGGCAGGCUCCACAGGUGGUGAGGGCCUGGGAGAUGAGGACAAGGCACAAAAGGGAGGCCCAAGUUUCUUGUGCCAGUGUAAGUGACAAAAUAACGACCAGAAUCAUUCAAAGACUCUCUAUUCAGUACCCAGUGAUGAGUAAAAAUUCUAAAAUUGUCUGUCGUUUGUAAGGUUUAUGACAAGGAAAGAACUCCUAAUUAUAAACUGGUUAUCACUGGGUAUUACACACUGAUUUUGUCUGAAUCAUUAAUUAGCAAAUGAAUCAACAGCUGCUGAUAGCUCAUAAACAAGCUAUUCUCAUUUAUUUUUUUAAAAGCAUCAUGUAGGCAAAGGCAGACCCAGAGAGGUGAAGACAGAGAAAUAUUCUUUGAAAUGAUUUUUAUGCUUCAGGACCUAUUUUAAAAAUGAUGUUUGUGAACCAUUGACUUUCACGCAAUAAACUAAAGCAAAGGUUGAGCUCUGAUAUGUUA
rnacentral:lncRNA from 1 species